UGGAAAAUCGAAGUAGCCGGUCUCUGUGC
rnacentral:piRNA from 1 species